rnacentral:rRNA from 1 species
GUCUACCGGCCAUGCCACCCUGAACGUGUCCAAUCUCGUCUGAUCUUGGAAGCUAAGCAGAGUUGGGCCUGGUUAAUACUUGGAUGGGAGAUGUUUUAAUCCAGCUUUGAAAGAAAAGGGAUGUAAAUU